UCCACAGCAGCCCCAAGGUCCUGCUCCACAGCAGCCCCAAGGUCCUGCUCCACAGCAGCCCCAAGGUCCUGCUCCACAGCAGCCCCAAGCUCGGCAGCAACAGCUGGCACAAAACAAAGCUGAAGCUCCUCCUCAAGUUCAAAUUCAAGUUCAAAGCCAAACUCCACAGACACAACCUCAAGUUCAGGCUUCACCAAAGCCACAAUCCUCACCACCGGAGCAGACCCCACAGUCAGCUCCUUGGGUCAAAGCACCAGCACUGGCCCAGGCUCCUCCUCAGGCUUACACGGAGGCUUACGCUAAAGCACAAGCCCUGGCCAGGAACAGGUUCGAGGAGGCCAAGCAUUGUCUGCAAGAACAUAUUCUAGAAGCGAUCAACGUAUUCAAGGACAAGAAGAUAACUGACGAGCAGGCAUUGGUCAAAGAAGUAGGUUUCACAUUGAGUCCCCUGCUUUUAUUCUAAAUUUACUUGAGGUUUUGAAGGCGUAUCUUUAUUAAUGUCCAAAAAAUAUUGGUUCAUGUUUUUCAGGAAACCUUAAAAGGCCUGGACGCUGAGCUUCUGGAUCAGUUCCUGCGAGCUGCUGAAGGAAUGGAGGCCUUCUGCACCCCGUCUCAGCUCCGGGACAUGGAGUUCUUUGCUCAGUCUGUCAGAACACAGUGGGAGGCUAUUCAGAUUGAAAUGUCAGCAUUUGUGGGGCAGCUCAGAUUCCAGAUAAAGCUUCUGCACUUUAACUCCAUUGCACGGCAGUGUGAGAUACACUUUAACAACAAGAAACCCAACUCUAGAUCUGACUCCAGAUCAGUGCAAGCUGGAGAGGCCUGUUUUUCUGCUGAUGGCAGUUUAGUUGUGGCUGGGCAUAAGUUGGAAGCUCUGAAGGAUCUUUGUGAUACCCUGAGCCCAGAGGAUGCCCACAGGCUGGCACAAGCUCAGCUCCGCGAGUGUGAGAAAAGACUCGCUGCCAUCCAGCGGCAGUUCAGCGGAGACCAGGACACUCCAAUGCCGGGUGCUGGAAGUGUUCUUGUGGAACAGAUGAAAGAGUCUUCACCACAGAAAAUAUCCACAGCUUCUGUGGAGAAAGCUUCAGAAACGACCAGUCCAGAGGUACGCGUGUAGAGUCACUUAAAUCCUGAUUAUUGUUAAACUGUCAUGUUUAGGAGUGUUGACCCAUAAUCGUAAUCAUUGAUUAGUGGCGCUGAUUUAAAUCUUUUAUUGCAGGCUUCUCCAGUCUCAACCCAGAGGCCCAAACCCACGGAUAAGAAGGAGAUAAUAAAGCAGACGAGUACAGAGGAGGACA
rnacentral:lncRNA from 1 species